rnacentral:pre_miRNA from 1 species
UUAGUACUCCCUCCGUUCGGAAUUACUCGUCCAAGAAAUGAAUGUAUCUAGAUGUAUUUUAGUUGUAGAUACAUCCAGUUUUAUGACAAGUAAUUCCGAAUGAAGGGAGUAGUUG